AGCGUAAAUGUGCAACUAUGUGUACGAAGAUGAAUAUGAGGAGGUGGUGCCUGCUGUCUAGGUAUUCACGUGCGUGUUGUCGUACAGCAGUCACCGUGCUCGGCUGACACUCCGGGUUAGCUGUGGGUGUCGAAAGGCUGUUGUUAUAGGAAGGGAGAAUAAGAGUAACACCUAGGUAUGAGGUGCAGACGAAGUGCAAGACACAAAUACUUGGGGUAUAGGAGAGGACAAUGAAGUACGAGGUGCAGACGAAGUGCAAGACACAAAUACUGGGCGUACCAGAUAAGGAGUAUAACAAAGUACGAGGUGCAGACGAAGUGCAAGACACAAGUACUUUAGUUAUUAGGAGAGGAUAAUGAAGUACGAGGUGCAGACGAAGUGCAAGACACAAGUACUUCAAAGAGAGAACGGGGUAGCCGAGUAUAAGGUGCAGACGAAGUGCAAGACACAAAUACUGGGCGUACCAGAUAAGGAGUAUAACAAAGUACGAGGUGCAGACGAAGUGCAAGACACAAGUACUUUAGUUAUUAGGAGAGGAUAAUGAAGUACGAGGUGCAGACGAAGUGCAAGACACAAGUACUUCAGAGAGAGAACGGGGUAGCCGAGUAUAAGGUGCAGACGAAGUGCAAGACACAAAUACUAGGCGUACCAGGUGAGGAAAGAUAACAGAGUACGAGGUGCAGACGAAGUGCAAGACACAAGUACUCUGAAAUGUCGAGGAAAAGAGUAUAUAGGUUAGAAAAGGAAUAAACAAAAACUUUACUUUAAACAGUAAGCCGGACAGCGACAACCGAGUACUGAGACUGAUGAAUGACACAAGGCACUAGAGUCGACUGACCACAAUGGUCAGGUCUAUUGGGUUUUUAUAAUAAUUACAACUAUUGCCGAUUUGGCAAUAAAUAU